rnacentral:lncRNA from 1 species
GAUCAAGUGUUUGAAAGUACUAGCCUCAUACUUAGUAUGGGAUGAGGAAGCCUAGUACCGGAUUGAACCUAGACGUGAGCGGUCGCCCCAUUGUUCUUGGAACGGAGUUUCCCCUGCUGGAUGUCGCACGUGGUGGCAAGCGUGGUCACAGAACGGCAGAGGCCGGGUCUGUGGAACCUUGCACCAAAGGAAAUGGGCCCGACACGGGUUAGGGGAUUGAUGGGGAAGGCCGACACAGGAAGCGACCUCCGG